CUAUGUUGUACCUUGCACCGGAGAAAUGACAUUUCGCCCAAUUUUUAACAUCGACACUUUUAUCAAGAUACGUAGCACACGAUGGAUACCUCUCCCUAAACUCUUGAUACUGCUGUUCAAACUCAGUCUCUGAAUAAAUUUGUGCAAAUUUCCUGAAUUGUUGUGCAACCUCGUCCCUCCCUUGUUUGACAUGAAGUUUCACAUUGUGUGAUAGAUGCCAGAUACAAUACCCAUGUUUAGCAUCGGAUACACUUCAGCAACGGUUUUUAUCAGACUUGGAUUUCUGUCUGAAACAAACACCAAUUCAGUCGAAUCCGGCAUAACAGUUUUCAACGUUGUGAAAAACCAGUUCCAACUUUCAUUUUUCUCUCCAUCAACGACACUUAACGCUAGAGGAUAAUGGUGACGGUUUGGAUCCUGAGCCGUGUCAAUAAUUAAAACACCACCUUCAACAAUCUUCAGAAAAGUUGUAUCCACAAUGAUGACUUUCCUCAUGUACUGAAACCCUUCAAUGGAAGCUCCCAAUGCAACAAAUAGGUAUUUGAAGGCAGUUUCUCUAACAUAUAUAAAUAAGAAGGCAGUUUCUUGUAUCCUUCCUCAGGACUACCACGCAUAUCCUCAACAACUUGUUUUUUUCCUCUCCAAACCGCCGCAUACGACACUUCCACACCCAAUCUCCUUUUCACCUGUCCGACCAGGGUUUUCAGAGUUGGUGUCUCAAAUAGUCAUGGAUAAUCACUAUGCACUAUACUGCAACACAUCUUGGUGUAGCUUUCCUUUUGAUUUCAGUACUUGAAGUUGCACGAGAGCAUGAAUGCAUCUUUAUGUAUGUUCUAAUCGAGAACGCUUUAGAAUUCCUUAUCUUCGUAGCUCUCACAACCCAUUUACAACCUUCAUCCGCUCCCCGACAUUUCACCACAUAUUGACUCUUAUCCGAGUUCACGAUACUGAUUCCAAAAAUGUUCUGUUGUGAUCCUCUAUCAAUUAAAUCUUUCACAUCCACUUUACUCGGAAAUUCUUGAAACAUCUCAACACCCAA
rnacentral:lncRNA from 1 species